UAAAAGUUUUAUCCUAGCUUUAAAAAUAAGUUUAUAGAAAAAUUAUAUGUAAAAUUUUUAAAAUAAAAAUUUAAAUAGUUUUUAUUUGAUUAGCAAUAGAAAAUAUUAAAUAUUAAUAAAAGUUAGAUUUAGUUAUCUUUAGCAGUAUUGACAAAAUUUGUGCCAGCAGUUGCGGUUAUACAGAUAAUGCAAUUUAUUUAUUUUAGUUUAUAAUUAAUUAGUAUUUUUAAAAAUUAUUAAUAAAAAAUUAUUAGGUGGAAUUUUUAAUUUUUUUUAUAUUUAUUUAAGAUAAUGAAGUUAUUAAAUUUAAUUUUAGACUAGGAUUAGAUACCCUAUUAUUUUAAAUGUAAAAUUUAAUACUUAAUGAUUAAUAGUUAUGUUCUUUAAAGUUAAAGGAUUUGGCGGUAUCUUAGUCUAUUUAGAGGAACCUGUUCUAUAAUCGAUAAUCCACGAUUUAUUAUACUUAUUUUAAUUAGUUUGUAUACCGUCGUAGUUUGAAUAUUUUAUAAGAAUAAAAAUAUUCAAGAAUCUUAAUAAGGAAAAAAAUCAGAUCAAGGUGCAGUUUAUAAAUAAGAAGAAAUGGGUUACAAUAAAUUUAUUUAAAUGGUUAAAUAUUUGAAAAAUAUUUAUUAAAGUGGAUUUAAAAGUAAUAAUGUUAAAUUAAAUUUUAUGAUUUUAGCUCUAAGAUAUGCACAUAUCGCCCGUCGCUCUCGUAUAAAAUGAGAUAAGUCGUAACAUAGUAGAUGUACUGGAAAGUGUAUCUAGUUAGAU
rnacentral:ncRNA from 1 species